rnacentral:lncRNA from 1 species
AGCUUCUACCUGGGUUAAGCUAUGAAACAACCUGAGUGAAGAGUACUUCUACCCGAAACUAUGAGCUGGAUCCCCCUAAGCGAAAUGGUUCUACCUAAGUUAAGCUAUAUAUAAAAACCUGAGCGAAGAGUACUUCUACCCGCAAAUAUGAGCUGGAUUCCCCUAGGCAAAAUGGUUCUACCUGGGUUAAGCUAUGUAAAACAACCUGAGUGAAGCGUACUUCUACCCGGAACUAUGAACUGGAUCCCCCUAGGCGAAAAGAUUCUACCUGGAUUAAGCUACGUAAAACAACCUGGGCGAAGAGUACUUCUACCCGGAACUAUGAACUGGAUCUCCUUUGACGAAAAUGAUCUACCUGGGUUAAGCUACUUAAACAACUUGGGCGAAGAGUACUUCUACCAGGAACUAUGAGCUGGAUCCCUCUAGGCGAAAAUGUUCUACCUGGGUUAAGCUACGUAAAACAAGCCUGGGCGAAGAGUACUUCUACCCGGAACUAUGAGUUGGAUCCCCCUAAGCGAAAAGGUUCUACCUGGGUUAAGCUAUGUAAAACAUCCUAAGCGAAGAGUACUUCUACUCGGAACUAUGAGAUGGAUCCCCCUAGGCGAAAAGAUUCUACCUGGGUUAAGCUACGAAAAAUAAGCCUGUGCGAAUACUACUUCUACUCCGAAAUAUGAGCUAGAUCCCCCUAGGUAAAAAAGGUUCUACAUGGGUUAAGCUACGUAAAACAACUUGAGCGAAGAGUAUUUCUACCCGGAACUAUGAGCUGGAUCCCCCUAGGCGAAAAGAUUAUACAUGGAUCAAGCUACGUAAAAUAACCUAAGCGAAGAGUACUUCUACCCGGAACUAUGAGCUGGAACCCCCUAGGCGAAAAGAUUCUACCUGGAUUAAGCUACGUAAAAUAACCUGGGCAAAGAGUACUUCUACCCGGAACUAUGAUCUGGAUCCCCCUAGGCGAAAAUGUUCUACCUAGGUUAAGCUACGUAAAACAAGCCUGAGCGAAGAGUACUUCUACCCGGAACUAUGAGUUGGAUCCUCCUAGGCUAAAAGGUUCUACCUGGGUUAAGCUAUAUAAAACAUCCUGAGCGAAAAGUACUUCUACUCGAAACUAUAAGAUGGAUCCCCCUAGGCGAAAAGCUU